GACAGAGGUGCCAAGCGUUAGGCGGAAUCACUGGGCUUAAAGCGUGUGUAGGCGGGCGAUCAAGUACCUUGUGAAAUCCCACGGCUCAACCGUGGAACUGCUGGGUAUACUGGUUGUCUUGAGCCAGCUAGGGGCGAGCGGAACAGACGGUGGAGCGGUGAAAUGCGUAGAUAUUAGGAAGAACACCAGUGGCGAAGGCGACUCACUGGUCCGGUACUGACGCUGAGGUGCGAAAGCGUGGGGAGCAAACAGG
rnacentral:rRNA from 1 species